AUUAUUGAAAAGUUAAGAAAAAGGAAAACUACAUUCCGUUAGGUGUGUUGAUUGGUUGGUUGGCUCUGUUGAGAGUUGUCCUGUAAAUGAUGCCUUGAUACUCUUGAGUUGCUUGGUGGCCAAGUUCUGCAUCAAGUAUUAUUUGGUAACCAAGUCUGCUGCUUCAGGUUGUGGCUCUCUACAUCAAAUUUCUGCACCUUGUUGCUGCAUUAAGUCUCUUAAUAAACCACUUUAGCUUAGUGUUAGGAAACCACCAAGCAGCUCUACUUUUUAAUAACUGCUUCCUUAAUUCAUUCAGGUAAUUACCUAUUUAAUUUGAGCUUUUUAUCUUUCACUAACUCAAAGUUUAAGAUGAACAAAUUUUAAAUUUAAUAUAUUUUAAACCAACUAAAAUCUAGCCAAGAAA
rnacentral:misc_RNA from 1 species